UAAGGAAUACUGGUCAAUGGACGCAAGUCUGAACCAGCCAUGCCGCGUGAAGGAUGAAGGUCCUCUGGAUUGUAAACUUCUUUUAUCUGGGACGAAAACGGGAUUUUUAUCUCAAUUGACGGUACCAGAGGAAUAAGCACCGGCUAACUCCGUGCCAGCAGCCGCGGUAAUACGGAGGGUGCGAGCGUUAUCCGGAUUUACUGGGUUUAAAGGGUGCGUAGGUGGGCUUAUAAGUCAGUGGUGGAAUCUCCGAGCUUAACUUGGAAACUGCCGUUGAUACUAUAGGUCUUGAAUUAUCUGGAGGUCAGCGGAAUAUGUCAUGUAGCGGUGAAAUGCUUAGAUAUGACAUAGAACACCAAUUGCGAAGGCAGCUUACUACAUAUAAAUUGACGCUGAGGCACGAAAGCGUGGGGAUCAAACA
rnacentral:rRNA from 1 species